rnacentral:rRNA from 8 species
UUAAGCGACUAAGCGUACACGGUGGAUGCCCUGGCAGUCAGAGGCGAUGAAGGACGUGCUAAUCUGCGAUAAGCGUCGGUGAGGUGAUAUGAACCGUUAUAACCGGCGAUUUCCGAAUGGGGAAACCCAGUGUGUUUCGACACACUAUCAUUAACUGAAUCCAUAGGUUAAUGAGGCGAACCGGGGGAACUGAAACAUCUAAGUACCCCGAGGAAAAGAAAUCAACCGAGAUUCCCCCAGUAGCGGCGAGCGAACGGGGAGGAGCCCAGAGCCUGAAUCAGUGUGUGUGUUAGUGGAAGCGUCUGGAAAGGCGCGCGAUACAGGGUGACAGCCCCGUACACAAAAAUGCACAUAUUGUGAGCUCGAUGAGUAGGGCGGGACACGUGGUAUCCUGUCUGAAUAUGGGGGGACCAUCCUCCAAGGCUAAAUACUCCUGACUGACCGAUAGUGAACCAGUACCGUGAGGGAAAGGCGAAAAGAACCCCGGCGAGGGGAGUGAAAAAGAACCUGAAACCGUGUACGUACAAGCAGUGGGAGCCUCUUAAUGGGGUGACUGCGUACCUUUUGUAUAAUGGGUCAGCGACUUAUAUUCUGUAGCAAGGUUAACCGAAUAGGGGAGCCGAAGGGAAACCGAGUCUUAACUGGGCGUUAAGUUGCAGGGUAUAGACCCGAAACCCGGUGAUCUAGCCAUGGGCAGGUUGAAGGUUGGGUAACACUAACUGGAGGACCGAACCGACUAAUGUUGAAAAAUUAGCGGAUGACUUGUGGCUGGGGGUGAAAGGCCAAUCAAACCGGGAGAUAGCUGGUUCUCCCCGAAAGCUAUUUAGGUAGCGCCUCGUGAAUUCAUCUCCGGGGGUAGAGCACUGUUUCGGCAAGGGGGUCAUCCCGACUUACCAACCCGAUGCAAACUGCGAAUACCGGAGAAUGUUAUCACGGGAGACACACGGCGGGUGCUAACGUCCGUCGUGAAGAGGGAAACAACCCAGACCGCCAGCUAAGGUCCCAAAGUCAUGGUUAAGUGGGAAACGAUGUGGGAAGGCCCAGACAGCCAGGAUGUUGGCUUAGAAGCAGCCAUCAUUUAAAGAAAGCGUAAUAGCUCACUGGUCGAGUCGGCCUGCGCGGAAGAUGUAACGGGGCUAAACCAUGCACCGAAGCUGCGGCAGCGACACUAUGUGUUGUUGGGUAGGGGAGCGUUCUGUAAGCCUGUGAAGGUGGCCUGUGAGGGUUGCUGGAGGUAUCAGAAGUGCGAAUGCUGACAUAAGUAACGAUAAAGCGGGUGAAAAGCCCGCUCGCCGGAAGACCAAGGGUUCCUGUCCAACGUUAAUCGGGGCAGGGUGAGUCGACCCCUAAGGCGAGGCCGAAAGGCGUAGUCGAUGGGAAACAGGUUAAUAUUCCUGUACUUGGUGUUACUGCGAAGGGGGGACGGAGAAGGCUAUGUUGGCCGGGCGACGGUUGUCCCGGUUUAAGCGUGUAGGCUGGUUUUCCAGGCAAAUCCGGAAAACCAAGGCUGAGGCGUGAUGACGAGGCACUACGGUGCUGAAGCGACAAAUGCCCUGCUUCCAGGAAAAGCCUCUAAGCAUCAGGUAACAUCAAAUCGUACCCCAAACCGACACAGGUGGUCAGGUAGAGAAUACCAAGGCGCUUGAGAGAACUCGGGUGAAGGAACUAGGCAAAAUGGUGCCGUAACUUCGGGAGAAGGCACGCUGAUAUGUAGGUGAAGCGACUUGCUCGUGGAGCUGAAAUCAGUCGAAGAUACCAGCUGGCUGCAACUGUUUAUUAAAAACACAGCACUGUGCAAACACGAAAGUGGACGUAUACGGUGUGACGCCUGCCCGGUGCCGGAAGGUUAAUUGAUGGGGUUAGCGGCAACGCGAAGCUCUUGAUCGAAGCCCCGGUAAACGGCGGCCGUAACUAUAACGGUCCUAAGGUAGCGAAAUUCCUUGUCGGGUAAGUUCCGACCUGCACGAAUGGCGUAAUGAUGGCCAGGCUGUCUCCACCCGAGACUCAGUGAAAUUGAACUCGCUGUGAAGAUGCAGUGUACCCGCGGCAAGACGGAAAGACCCCGUGAACCUUUACUAUAGCUUGACACUGAACAUUGAGCCUUGAUGUGUAGGAUAGGUGGGAGGCUUUGAAGUGUGGACGCCAGUCUGCAUGGAGCCGACCUUGAAAUACCACCCUUUAAUGUUUGAUGUUCUAACGUUGGCCCGUAAUCCGGGUUGCGGACAGUGUCUGGUGGGUAGUUUGACUGGGGCGGUCUCCUCCUAAAGAGUAACGGAGGAGCACGAAGGUUGGCUAAUCCUGGUCGGACAUCAGGAGGUUAGUGCAAUGGCAUAAGCCAGCUUGACUGCGAGCGUGACGGCGCGAGCAGGUGCGAAAGCAGGUCAUAGUGAUCCGGUGGUUCUGAAUGGAAGGGCCAUCGCUCAACGGAUAAAAGGUACUCCGGGGAUAACAGGCUGAUACCGCCCAAGAGUUCAUAUCGACGGCGGUGUUUGGCACCUCGAUGUCGGCUCAUCACAUCCUGGGGCUGAAGUAGGUCCCAAGGGUAUGGCUGUUCGCCAUUUAAAGUGGUACGCGAGCUGGGUUUAGAACGUCGUGAGACAGUUCGGUCCCUAUCUGCCGUGGGCGCUGGAGAACUGAGGGGGGCUGCUCCUAGUACGAGAGGACCGGAGUGGACGCAUCACUGGUGUUCGGGUUGUCAUGCCAAUGGCACUGCCCGGUAGCUAAAUGCGGAAGAGAUAAGUGCUGAAAGCAUCUAAGCACGAAACUUGCCCCGAGAUGAGUUCUCCCUGAGACUUAGAGUCUCCUGAAGGAACGUUGAAGACGACGACGUUGAUAGGCCGGGUGUGUAAGCGCAGCGAUGCGUUGAGCUAACCGGUACUAAUGAACCGUGAGGCUUAACCUU